UACGUAGGGGGCAAGCGUUGUCCGGAUUUAUUGGGCGUAAAGAGCGUGUAGGCGGCCAUGCAGGUCAGCUGUGAAAACUCGAGGCUCAACCUCGAGCUGUCGGUGGAAACCGUAAGGCUAGAGUCCGGAAGAGGAGAGUGGAAUUCCUGGUGUAGCGGUGAAAUGCGCAGAUAUCAGGAAGAACACCCGUGGCGAAGGCGGCUCUCUGGGACGGUACUGACGCUGAGACGCGAAAGCGUGGGGAGCGAACAGG
rnacentral:rRNA from 1 species